GUUCUGGGACUAAAAAAACUAUUUUUGAUGAAACAGUCAGGACAAUGGUUGCCUCAAGGGGUGGAGGAGGGACACGGAUGGCUGGGAAGAGCGGGGAAGGAACUUCCUGGGGUUUCCAUGUCUUGAUCAGGGAGGGUGCUGAGGGGCGCUCACAUUUGCCAAAACAGCGAACCGUACAUCUAAGACUUGUGCAUUUCACCGCAUGGAAAUUUCACUUAAAACGUAAACAACGAUUGCACUCUAGCUAAUGAAAUUGAGCUAAAACCAUUUAGAGUGAAUCAUGCUUGCGUCCACAGUUGUUUUCUGAAAUGGAUCCAAAAAUAACAUGGAUGGAGGGAGGGAAAGAGGGAGGGAGGGAGGAAUGGAGAUUUGAUCAAAGUGAGUGUAGUUCACUGUUAAUGGAAUUUAGGUGGUGGGUGUGUGGGUGUUGACUGCAAAAUUAUUUCAACUUUACUGUAUGUUUGAACUUCUUCACAAGAAAAUGCUGGAAAAGAGAAUGAACGCAGGCUCUGGGCCAGCCUGUCUGUCAUGAAUCUCACUCCACACGCAGUGACCGUGGGACAAGGGUCGGCCUCCUCACUGGCGUGGGCCUCAGUGGCCCCUGGGUGCGUGACAAUAGUGCCCGCUUCUGGGGUUGUGCAAGGUUUUAAAAGUUUAAAAACACCACUCAGCCUUAAAAGGGAAGGAGAUUCUGACACACCCCAUGUGGAUGAGUCUCGAGGGCUUUGUGCUGACUGAAAUAAGCCAGGCACCAAAAGACAAAUGCCGCAGGAUCCCACUUACGCGAGGUUCCUGGAGGCAUCAGACUCAGAGGCAGAAAGGAGGCGGCGGGGCCGGGCUGGGGCAGGGAAAGCGGGGAGUCGGGGUGUAGUGGGGACACAGUUUCAGUUUGGAAUCAAAUAAGUU
rnacentral:lncRNA from 10 species